AACCUUAAUGAGUUGAAAA
rnacentral:snRNA from 1 species